rnacentral:misc_RNA from 1 species
GAUGAAGAACGUAGCGAAAUGCGAUAAGUAAUGUGAAUUGCAGAAUUCAGUGAAUCAUCGAAUCUUUGAACGCACCUUGCGCCCUUUGGCCAUUCCGAAGGGCAUGCCUGUUUGAGUAUCAUGAACACCUCAACUCUUUAUGGUUUUCCAUGAUGAGCUUGGACUUUGGGGGUUUUGCUGGCCUAUGGUCGGCUCCUCUAAAAUAAAUCAGCUUACCGGUGUUUGGUGGGUAUCAUGGGUGUGAUAACUAUCUACGCUUGUGGUUUUUCCACCAGGUAACCUUCGACAGCGGAGGUUCACUGGAGCUCAUAGAUGUCUCUCCUCAGCGAGGACAGCCCUUUGAAUGUUUGAUCUCAAAUCAGGUAGGACUACCCGCUGAACUUAAGCAUAUCAAUAAGCGGAGUA